CACCUGUUCCCAUGCCGAACACAGAAGUUAAGCUUCUUAACGCCGAAAGUAGUUGGUGGGCAACUGCCUGCGAGGAAAGGAAGCUGCCGUGCU
rnacentral:rRNA from 1 species